rnacentral:rRNA from 1 species
UGACGCUGAGGCACGAAAAGCAUGGGUAGCAAACAGGAUUAGAUACCCUGGUAGUCCAUGCCGUAAACGAUGAUUACUAGGUGUGGGGGGAUUGACCCCUUCCGUGCCGCAGUUAACACAAUAAGUAAUCCACCUGGGGAGUACGGCCGCAAGGUUGAAACUCAAAGGAAUUGACGGGGGCCCGCACAAGCAGUGGAGUAUGUGGUUUAAUUCGAAGCAACGCGAAGAACCCUACCAGGUCUUGACAUCGAGUGACGUAUCCAGAGAUGGAUAUUCCCUACGGGGCACGAAGACAGGUGGUGCAUGGUUGUCGUCAGCUCGUGUCGUGAGAUGUUGGGUUAAGUCCCGCAACGAGCGCAACCCUUGCUGUUAGUUGCUACGCAAGAGCACUCUAACAGGACUGCCGUUGAUAAAACGGAGGAAGGUGGGGACGACGUCAAAUCAUCAUGCCCCUUAUGACCUGGGCUACACACGUACUACAAUGGCCGUAAACAAAGGGAAGCAAAGGAGCGAUCCGGAGCAAACCCCCAAAAACGGUCCCAGUUCAGAUUGUAGGCUGCAACCCGCCUACAUGAAGUUGGAAUUGCUAGUAAUCGCAGA